GUAGGGAGUUUUCGGCAAUGGGGGGAACCCUGACCGAGCAACGCCGCGUGAGUGAUUGAAGGUCUUCGGAUCGUAAAGCUCUGUUGCGCGGGACGAACGGCGGUCGCAGGUAAUGGCGAUCGUCUGACGGUACCGCGCCAGAAAGUGACGGCUAACUACGUGCCAGCAGCCGCGGUAAUACGUAGGUCACGAGCGUUAUCCGGAAUUAUUGGGCGUAAAGAGUGAGCAGGCGGCUCGCUAAGCCCGGAGUGAAAGCGUGGGGCUCAACCCCAUAAAGCUCCGGGAACUGGCGGGCUAGAGUGCCUGAGAGGUCAACGGAACUCCAUGUGUAGCGGUGAAAUGCGUAGAUAUAUGGAAGAACACCGGCGGCGAAGGCGGUUGACCAGCAGAGCACUGACGCUCAGUCACGAAAGCGUGGGGAGCAAAUAGGAUUAGAAACCCUAGUAGUCC
rnacentral:rRNA from 1 species